rnacentral:rRNA from 1 species
AUAAGUAAUGUGNUUGCAGAAUUCAGUGAAUCAUCGAAUCUUUGAACGCACCUUGCGCUCCUUGGUAUUCCGAGGAGCAUGCCUGUUUGAGUGUCAU